rnacentral:misc_RNA from 1 species
GGACAAUUAAAUAUUUAGUACAAAUUACAAAAUUAUUGGACAAGAAAAUGAUGAUGAUCCAUACAAAUUCUAAAACAAUAUCCCAAAUAAAAAAAAUCUCGUACGGGAAUUUAGUUUUACCUUACGAGAAAUUCGAUUGAGAUCCCACUGCUUAAACCAACAGAAGUCCGGCUAGAACAAGCCCAAUCACGGCGGAGGCCGCGGCGGCGGUGGAUCUCCGGCCGGCGGCGUUAUAAUUCCGGUCGAUCGGAUAAAGGUCGCCGGGAGGGCCGGUUAUGUACAUGAACGAGGGAGACGGCGGCGGAGGGCAGUUGGGGCUCUUGGGCUCCUUCUUCUUCGGGGGUGGGGGAGAGUAGUAGGGAACGACAUCGGGCGGCGGAGGAGACGGCGGCGGGGGCGAUGGGUAGACUACCGGCGGCGGAGGAGAUGGCUGGUUCUGUUCACAUGGGGCGCACUUGACGGUGGGGUCGGCGGGGGUGGUCGGGAUGGUGGUGUCGUCGAGGAGGCGGGCGGGGGCGGCGGCGGAGGUGGAGGAAGGGGAAAUGAGGAGGAGGAAAUUGAGAAAAAGGAGAAAAUUGAGAGGAAGCAUUUUUGUUGAGAGAAGAAGAGAGGGAAAUGAAU